GCCAUUUUGGCUUAGUGGGUAGAGUGUCAGCCUGAGGAUGAAAGGGUCCCUGGUUCGAUUCCGGUCAAUGGCA
rnacentral:tRNA from 1 species